rnacentral:lncRNA from 1 species
GAAUUGAAAGACAAGAUAACAAGCUAGUCAUUAGCGGAAGCAAAAGACAGCGUGGAACCCUAGCCUCAGCUCAACCCUGUCUGCACCAACCGAUCAACCUGAAAAUAUUUGAAAAUAAUUUGGGCUGAGUACUAGUGUACUUAGUGAACAGGAGUUUACAAGAUAUUUUAUGAAAUAAUUAAAUAGAGCUGUUUGUCCAAUAUCAUAAUCAUAACUCAGAAGGUUUUAAAUACAGAAAUCCACUUCUAAGCAUGACAAAACUUUUCUCAUUAAGUGGUGCCAUGUAACGUUCGAUUGUUACUCGCUGCUUAUGAUCCCGGACCUCUAGCCACCGACGGAUCGCUUUCUUUUCUCCCAUUUAUCAAUCUCGGGACGCACCCGGUCAGAUCAAUAAUCAUAACUGUGCUUCGGAACACAUCCAGACAAGCACCCUUAUAACGCCUCUUAGCUUUGUUAGUGCACGAUGGCGAUCAACCCAUCGAGCCACUAACCUUGUGUACACAAUCCUCAUCUAACGUGUUAGGCCAAAUGAGAAACUCGAUCGAUGCUUAUGCGAGCAUUAAACAAUACAGAACGCACAUAAAAACAUUUAUAUUGGAUAAACAAUUAACUUUCAUGAAAUAUCAGAGCUUAUAUAACUCAAGAUACAUUGUAAAAUAAAGACCCACCUUGAUUGGACAAAGUCCGAAGUCAAACGUAACUCGUCUCGUAAAAGCAAUGCUAAUCCUCUUGGUUAAUUGAGCCUACAAGAUAAUCUAAUCUUAAUAGGUCUCGUGAUACUAGCCUUAGAUAAUAGCAAAACGAGGCUACUAAGUUCUGAUUCGCUAUGCCCGAAUUUUAAAACUCACUUAAUAAACUUGAAAACAAAUUUUCAGGUAAGGGCACCAACAAUACCCUUGCUUGACUUUUAACUUAAAAACAAUUUAAAUGCUUAAAUAUUUUAUUGCAAAAACAUAUUAUAACUAAAGCUCAAAUUUCAAUUAAGAAAGAGCCAACUUAAAAGAAUAAGCCCAGCAAUUAAAUCAACCCAGCACUAAUAAAGACUAUGUUGAAACCCAAUUGAAUGAGCCCAACUGAAAUAAAACCAAGCCCAAACCACUUUUCUCUCUCCUGUUCAUUCUCAUAUGCGUCUCUCUCUCUCUCUCUCACAGAAAUCGCAUUUCUCUCUCCCAAGCCGCCGUCCACCUCCAGCAAGACCGGCGGCGCUUCGCCGGCGCUCAUCACCUUCACCCUCACCAGCAUCUGCAUCUGCCGACUCUCCCUCUCAACAUCUCGCCCUACUCUCUCUGUCUCUAUCCCUUCUCUCGCCAUAAACAGCUGCGGUCGCCGCCGCUCUUCCACGGCUGCCGCUCCGCCGCCUCUUUUCUCAAUCUCCAUCCCCCAAUUGAUCAAACCCCCAGAUACAGAAACCCAAAAUCUCUCUCUCAAGGCUCAAAUUAGAAAACCACUCUCUCUCUCUUCCUCUCACUCAUCCGCCUGCCACCUUCUACCAUAGCGGCGUUUUCGCCGCCUUCUUCCCUCCUCCCUCGCCGGACAGCCAGUGGCCGUCAAAAUUGCCGCCGCCUCUCCUCUUUCUCUCACGGCGAACGGCGAGAUUCACCGUCGCCCCCUUCUCCUUCGGUCCGAACAGCAGCAGCCCAUCAGCCGCUGCCGCCGCUCUCCCUGCUUCAACCCCUCCUAGCCCCGAUUGAACUCACGCCAUACUAACACACACAACAAGAAUCAAGCGCAGCAAGAUCGAAGCUGUAAAGACUGAAGUUUUAUCAAAAUUUUAAGGGUUCGUUCUUCUCUGUGUUUCUUCAAUUCCUUCACAAGAGUCCAGUUCAAAGUGUAAAUGUCAAGGCACAAGUUUGAUGGUAUUGUCUAUGAUGAUUUUAAAUCACCAGAAUUUUAUUCGUAUAUUUCUUGUUUGUUGGUUUCGUGUGUCAUCAAAGUUCAUCAGAACGAAAAGAAUAGUGUGGGAAUAAUGAAGUAAAGAUGGAAACUUUGGGGGUACCGUGGUGUGAUUAUGAAGAAGAUGAAGAGGGCUGAGCUCUGCUUCUGUUCUAUCUGCAAGUAAUAUAUGAACUGAAUAUGUAUGUUGGUGUUGUGAAAAUAUAGAACAAGUCUUGUACGAAAUUGAGUAUGACGAUAGAACCUUGAUGAGGUGAAUGUUUUUUACUGCUUAUGCUGCUCUUGUUUAGGCGCUUCUGUAAAGAAAAAGGGCGAAGUUUGUUUGCUUUUAUUUUUGUGGAAGGAAUGGAACACAAUUACAGUUGUUUUUGGGAAAUAUAAUUGAGAUGGAAAUGAUGAGAUUCAUCUGUAGUGAAGUGUAUGGGUAAUUUAAAGAAGACAAAGGCAGUAGAUGGGGUAAAGAAGAAGGUAACGUGGAU